rnacentral:rRNA from 1 species
CGUAGGGUGCGAGCGUUAAUCGGAAUUACUGGGCGUAAAGCGUGCGCAGGCGGUUUUGUAAGACAGGUGUGAAAUCCCCCGGGCUUAACCUGGGAACUGCGCUUGUGACUGCAAGACUUGAGUAUGGCAGAGGGGGGUAGAAUUCCACGUGUAGCAGUGAAAUGCGUAGAGAUGUGGAGGAAUACCGAUGGCGAAGGCAGCCCCCUGGGUCAAUACUGACGCUCAUGCACGAAAGCGUGGGGAGCAAACAGGAUUAGAUACCCUGGUAGUCCACGCCCUAAACGAUGCCAACUAGGUGUUGGGGAAGGAGACUUCCUUAGUACCGUAGCUAACGCGUGAAGUUGGCCGCCUGGGGAGUACGGUCGCAAGAUUA